UGUGUGUUGGAGGAUGAAAAAUAUAGAGUGAUCCAUCGGCUAAGUGUUUUAUCACGAUGCUGAAACUCAAAUUGCUGACAGCACACU